rnacentral:sRNA from 1 species
AAAAAACAACAACAACAAGAAAUGAAAUCAACAAAAACAAAAACGAAUCAGUAACCAAAAAUGUUGAACAACACUCGAAAGAUGUCAUGUCAAAGAUGCGCACAAUUAGCUUAAACUGACAACAA